AAAGAGAAAGGCGAAAAUUAACCAACCCUCUUCUGGCUUAGCUGUUUGGAUAUUUCAGGAAUUCAUUACAAUCUUAAAAAUGCCUUCAGCACUGUGGUACAAGGACUAGAGAAAGAAGACAGUAAUACACAUGAAGUCAGACGGCAUUCGUUAAGGAAGAUUCCUCAGUAGCUGAAGAUACCACUUCAACAACAUCCUCCUAAAGCAAAUUAGGGAAAUACAGGUAG